rnacentral:rRNA from 1 species
UACAGAGGUCCCGAGCGUUGUUCGGAUUCAUUGGGCGUAAAGGGUGCGUAGGCGGCGGGGAAAGUCUGAUGUGAAAUCCUGGGGCUCAACCCUGGAACUGCAUUGGAUACUUCCUUGCUAGAGUACUGGAGAGGAAACUGGAAUUUACGGUGUAGCAGUGAAAUGCGUAGAGAUCGUAAGGAAGACCAGUGGCGAAGGCGAGUUUCUGGACAGUUACUGACGCUGAGGCACGAAAGGCCCAGGGGGAGCAAAACGGG